AUGGGCCCCUUUGCUUUCCUUCCAUAUGCCCAAAAGCCAAAGGUUAAAGAAAAAAUAAAUUUAAAAAGCCAAUGUACCCCUUUCCUUUUUUUUUUCACAUGGGCAUGGGUUCUCGGACUAAAGUUUUGUUUGUCCCCUCAUUUUUCUAAGAAAUUUAUGCUGUGCAUCUUGCACUUACACACUAUGUGACGGUACUAUGUCACUAAGCAAGGCAGCUUCUGCUAUAGAGAUAUUGAGUGGAUUAGUAUUUAGUAUUUGAUUAUAUACUGCCAUAAAUGUGCUACAACAGGCAGAAUUAUGAAACGAAAAGGACUUGGCUUGAAAAGCACAAACAAGAAGGUUGCAGCAUUAAUUUUGCUGCCUAGUGGUAUGAUGGAACCUGAAUCAGCUAAAGUAAUAGGGAGCAGAUCUUUAGGCCUCCAUAACUUUAGAUACACUAAAAUGGUAGGAGACGGUAACGCCAAGACAUUUCAAAUGCUGAAUUCUUUGAAACCAUCAGUGCUCAUUAUCAAGCAAGAAAGUGUGAGCCAUGGGUCCAAAUGAUUGUGUACAGCUCUGAGAAAUGUUGUAAAAGAUUGAUCUAAAUUAGUUAGGUUUAUUGAUAUUAUAUUACAACACAAAAAAAAAUCUGAGAAAAUAUUAAUUAUGUUGUUAUUUUCAAAUAACUAAUAUUAUUUUUUUCAUUUCUUUUUAGGUGAUCGCAUUGGAGGUAGAAAAAAUGGAAGUCUCCAUGCUAAAAAAAAUCUCAUGUGGAAUAUAUUUUGAAAGGGCACUUCGAGGAUGUAAAACUGCAAAAGAAAUGUAAAAGGCAGCUUGGGCAUCUGUCUACCACAACUAUUCGACUGACGUCAAUUUACAACACCAAUACUGUCCACCAGGUAAGGAUGCUUGGUGUUUCUAUUAAAGAAAAAAUAUCCUGGCGCCACAAUGACAGAGUUCCCCAAUUACUUGGAUUAUGAACGAAUCCAUAAACAUGUUUGGCGAUCUGUGAACGCCUUACAGAUUUAAAUCUGCUUAGAAGGUGUGAGCCACAUGCUACACAAAACAGUAAUGAGAGCCUUCAUAAUGCUGUCUGGUCGAGGUGCUUGAAAACCCAAUUUCAUGCAAAAGGAAAGGUAGACCAUUCAGCUCUCUUAUGAUUUGGUUUUAUAUAUUCCGCUAUUAUUCUCUGCAAAUAUGGACAAAACGCUUCAAAGCUUUGUGAAGCUCGAAAAAGAAAACGCCUUGCAUUAUGCAGAGCUUUAGCAUCUGGUAAGGAAAAAAUGAGACAACAGCUAAGUAAAGUUGCAAAAAUGCCAAAAAAAUGAACCUAACUUACAUUUUUAGCACUUUUUAACCAUUUUUAUGUAUCAAUUAUAAUGUCAAUUAUAUGUAUAUAUAUACAUGUAUAUAUAUAUUUUAUAUAUAUAUAUAUGUACAUUUCACUUCAUUAGUUACACAAUGUAAAGACAAUGUAAGUACAAUGUAAAUUUUGUGAACACAUUUGACCAAAGUUUUACUUAUAGUGUUUUUAGCUUUCAUCAUAUUUAAAUGAAAUUUUCAAAUUGCAAAAUCUUUUUGUCUCAAUGAUAAUAUAUAAUAUAAAUACUUUUUAUGUGCACUAUGAUUGGUUUUUGGGAUAUCCCAAAAAAAAUUUUCUGUCAAUUUCUCAAAAUCAAUUUUUUUUUCAAUCUAUUUUUGCUAUAAAUAUUUUUAUAAUUCUAUUGAAAUGAUUUGUUUAGUGCAUAUUCAAUACAAUUAAUGCCAUAAAUAUAUCAAUUACUUUUCUGAAAACACAUUGUCUUUAUAUAUGUAUGAAAAAAAAAGAUUAUCUCACUUUCUCAAUAACAUAGGUAAAAUGUUAAGUUUAUGUACAUAAUUGAACAGAGUUUUUAUUUUUAUUUUUUUGUUUUCAUCUGAUUUGAAUGAAAUUUUCACAAAUAUCAUCUUUUGUUCUCGCAAUAAUAUUAAUACUUUUUAUAUGUACUUUGUUUAGUUGUUGCAAUAUUACAAAUUUUAUGUUAAAUUAUGUUUUUUCAAUUAAUUUUUGAUAAAGACUUUUUUAUUUAUUGCUCUAUUUAAAUGAUUUUUUUCAGCAUAUAUUUAAUACAGAUAAUGCAAAAAAAUAUCUGAUCACUUUUUUUAUCAUCAUUGUUAUGUUGAAAAAAAAUCAUUUUUGUAAAAUCAUGUUUCUGUAUAUAUUUGGCAAGAAAAAAGUUGUAAAAAAAAGAAAAUUCAAAAAUUUAAAAUCUAAUCUGAUUACUCAUUAGUUUGGUCAUUAUAUUUCUUAAUAUUUCUGCAAAUUUAAAAACAAAAAAAUGAAAGAGAAGAUAACUUUUAUGUACAGUACAAGGUUCUUUACAAAACAAUAUGACCACCGUUACCACAGCAACAACAUUUUCACACUUUUUUUUUUCUAGUUUGUUAAUAAGGUUCUCAUACAUAACAUACCUUUAUAAUAUUAUGAAAUUCUAUGAAUAAAUAAAAAAAAUUGCUUUUGAUA